rnacentral:rRNA from 1 species
UCCGGUUGAUCCUGCCGGACCCCACUGCUAUCGGGAUAGGACUAAGACAUGCUAGUCGAGCGCUUCAGCCAAAAAGAGGCGCGGCAUACAGCUCAGUAACACGUGGCUAAUCUGCCCUUAGGACGAGAACAACCCCGGGAAACUGGGGCUAACUCUCGAUAGGUGAAGAACUCUGGAAUGAGUCUUCGCCCAAAAAGCUUCACGUUAUGCGCGUGAGGUUGCCUAAGGAUGAGGCCGCGACCGAUCAGGUUGUUGGUGAGGUAAUGGCUCACCAAGCCUUUUACCGGUGCGGGCCGUGAGAGCGGGAGCCCGGAGAUGGGCACUGAGACAAGGGCCCAGGCCCUACGGGGCGCAGCAGUCGCGAAAACUUUGCAAUACACGAAAGUGUGACAGGGCUAUCCCGAGUGCCAUCCGCUGAGGAAGGCUUUUACCCAGUCUAGAACGCUGGGGGAAUAAGGAGAGGGCAAGUCUGGUGUCAGCCGCCGCGGUAAUACCAGCUCUCCGAGUGGUGUGGAUGUUUAUUGGGCCUAAAGCAUCCGUAGCUGGCUAAGUUAGUCCCUUGUUAAAUCCACCGAAUUAAUCGUUGGAUUGCGGGGGAUACUGCUUGGCUAGGGGACGAGAGAGGCAGACGGUAUUUCCGGGGUAGGGGUGAAAUCCUAUAAUCCCGGGAAGACCACCAGUGGCGAAGGCUGUCUGCUAGAACGCGCCCGACGGUGAGGGAUGAAAGCUGGGGGAGCGAACCGGAUUAGAUACCCGGGUAGUCCCAGCUGUAAACGAUGCAGGCUAGUGUUUGGACGGCACGUGCCGUUCUAGUGCCGCAGGGAAGCUGUUAAGCCUGCCGCCUGGGAGUACGAUCGCAAGAUUGAAACUUAAGGAAU